rnacentral:rRNA from 1 species
UACGGAAGGCAGCAGUGGGGAAUAUUGCACAAUGGGCGCAAGCCUGAUGCAGCCAUGCCGCGUGUAUGAAGAAGGCCUUCGGGUUGUAAAGUACUUUCAGUCGUGAGGAAGGUGUUAAGGUUAAUAACCUUAGCAAUUGACGUUAGCGACAGAAGAAGCACCGGCUAACUCCGUGCCAGCAGCCGCGGUAAUACGGAGGGUGCGAGCGUUAAUCGGAAUUACUGGGCGUAAAGGGCACGCAGGCGGUUAAUUAAGUUGGAUGUGAAAUCCCCGGGCUUAACCUGGGAAUGGCAUUCAAGACUGGUUAGCUAGAGUCUUGUAGAGGGGGUAGAAUUCCAUGUGUAGCGGUGAAAUGCGUAGAGAUGUGGAGGAAUACCGGUGGCAAAGGCGGCCCCUGGACAAAGACUGACGCUCAUGUGCGAAAGCGUGGGGAGCAAACGAGGAUUAGAUACC